UGAUAUGUUUGAUAUAUUAGG
rnacentral:ncRNA from 6 species